CAACUUUCAACAACGGAUCUCUUGGCUCUCGCAUCGAUGAAGAACGCAGCGAAAUGCGAUAACUAAUGUGAAUUGCAGAAUUCAGUGAAUCAUCGAGUCUUUGAACGCACCUUGCGCCCUUUGGUAUUCCAAAGGGCAUGCCUGUUUGAGUGUCAUU
rnacentral:rRNA from 1 species